GGAUAAUAGGCAAUAAGGAAGAGUCCUGUAUCCUCAGGAAGUGCCCUCCCCCAACAGAGACCCUGGCAGGGCCAAGGGCUACUCCUCCUUCCCCCAUGCUGGCUCCACUUACUAAGCCCACCGUAUUUUAUAGUGAUAACCCCUGGUCAGCAGCCUGUCUCCCAACGUAGUGCUCCCGCCACCCCCUCACCACCUGUCUCCGGCCAAAAGCAUCCUUCAGCCCUGCCCCUGCUCCCACCCAGGCCCCCCGCUUUCAAAGCCAGAGUGGCUUCAGCUCACCAUUUGACUUGUGUCCCUCCCAUGGUCCCCCUCCUGUCUUGGGUUUCAGCAAGCCUGUGUCCCCGGGUGAAGUGGGAGGCUGAGAGUCACAUCACUCCCAAAUUCAGGCAUGUCUCCCCGCGCUGGGGCUGGAAAACGCCUCCACGGGAAGGCCAGCUAGCGGAGCUACUCGCCCGGCUCGCGGGAGAAAGUGGGAACGGCAGCGGCGGCGUCUCGGCCCCAGCGACGAGGAUGCUCCCGGCUCUGAAGCGCGCCGUCCCGGGCGCUCAGACUCUGCUGCGGCCCGGCCCCGGCGGAAGCUGCCACCCCUCGCAGGCUGCCGGCCCCUGGCCUCUGCAUCUUGGCCUCCGCGGACGCACGGUGCCCGGCAUCCCCCCAGGCGGAGGCAUCUCACCCCAUUUGCCACUGGGAGGGAGGCUCCCGGCGGCGCAGGCUGCGCCUCAAGUCCCCAGCGGCGAUCCCGCUCCGCGACACCUUCCGGAUCCCUCCCCGCCCCUCCCUCUGCUGCCUCCCGGGGCUGUCACCAGCCGCGAGGCGGCCGGGCUCCGAUCCAAGCCAGCUCCGCUGGGCUGGCCAACCGACCGCUCUGGGCGGAGCACUGUGGUGGAGGAAGUGAAAGAAGUUCAGCAUACCCAGAGCCCAGAAUGCAGGAGGAGAGAGGGAAAGGUAAACGAUAAUGAUGUCCUAAAUGGCAGUGUUCCCUCAAAAUAGCUGACUUUAAUGGGCCAGAUCCCCAAGCCCACUCCACAUGGGAACCAGAUCAGAGGUUACAACCAAGGAUUUUCCUGAGGCUGGUACUCGCUGGUUAACAUUGAGUAUACUCCUGCACCAACGAUGUGAUGAGGCACUGACCUUUAGCUGAAGUCUGGUGCAUACGAAUCUUUUUGGAGGCCACAAACUGCAGCACUUUCUCCACAUUAUUCUUCAUCUCCUGUUGGUUACUGGGACUGAGCUGUACCCCACUCAGCUUUUCUCCUGCUGUUCGGAGCGAGAAAAUAUAGGCAGUUACAGGGAGGAAUAUUAUCAAAGUUUCAUAGCAGCUAGACAAAGAGGAAGGGAAGAUUAGAUGUGAACACCAACAUUAUACAUAAAUAUAUAAAUGAGUUAAAUCCUGGUAUUUGUCAUUUAGAUGGGAAAUAGGAAAAUGAAAGCCUUUUAGAAGGCUUUCAAAUUUAUACUUAGGGGUCUGUGAAGUUGCUGUGCAUACAUUUAUUCAGUCAACAAAUACUCACUGAGCAUCUACUGAGUGGCAAGUAGUCACUGUUCUGGGCACCAGAGAAACAGGAGAGAACAAGAACAAUAAAGUCCCUUUCCCUCAUAGAAUUUAUACCUGCAGGAGUGGCAGACAACAGCCAAGUUAACAAGUAAGCGUUUAAUAUAAUUUCAUAGUAGCAGUAAGUGCUUGCGGAAAAAUAAAGUGCAGUGACCAUGGUCUCUCUGAUAAUACAUUUGGCAGCAGCUUGAAUAAAGUAAAGCAUGUUAAGAUUUGAGGAGGAAGCAUUCUAGACUGAGGAACCACAGGGACCAAACCCCAAGCUCAGCUUACCUGAAGAAUAGCAAGAGCAAUGUGGCUGGGGGAGUGAGCUAGGAGUCAAGUCCUAGGAGAGGCUAGAGGGG